rnacentral:rRNA from 1 species
AACUAACGCUGGCGGCAGGCCUAACACAUGCAAGUCGAGCGAGAUCUUCGGGUCUAGCGGCGGACGGGUGAGUAACGCGUGGGAAUAUGCCUCUUGGUACGGAAUAGCCUCGGGAAACUGGGAGUAAUACCGUAUGUGCCCCUUGGGGGAAAGAUUUAUCGCCAAGAGAUUAGCCCGCGUUGGAUUAGGUAGUUGGUGGGGUAAUGGCCUACCAAGCCGACGAUCCAUAGCUGGUUUGAGAGGAUGAUCAGCCACACUGGGACUGAGACACGGCCCAGACUCCUACGGGAGGCAGCAGUGGGGAAUCUUAGACAAUGGGGGCAACCCUGAUCGAGCCAUGCCGCGUGAGUGAUGAAGGCCUUAGGGUUGUAAAGCUCUUUCAGCUGGGAAGAUAAUGACGGUACCAGCAGAAGAAGCCCCGGCUAACUCCGUG